rnacentral:lncRNA from 1 species
UCACAAUUUAAAAGUCCAGAAUCUCCAGCAGUUCUCUUGUUCAUUGUUCCCUGUGGACCCAUGAUUCACCCUCUUGGUGACAGUUAUACCAAAUUUUUGCCACUGCAAAAUCCUGCCAAAAAACCACUUAGCCAAUGUCACGUUUCAGGGAUUUGUUAAAAUACUCCACUUUCAGUAUCAAUUUCUGAAUUAAUCAGAAUAGGCUAAGCUAUGCUAUGGUAACAAACAGUCCUAUAAUCUCAGUGGUUUAACACAACAAAAGCAUGUUUCUGACUCAUACAAGUUACACUGUGGAUUGAGGCAACUCUCCUGAGUGUCUGCCCUCUAGAUGGUGACUAGGUAAUAAAGUUACUUCAAAUUUAAAGCUCCAGCAUCUCAACACAGGGCCUCCUCCACCGCUGCAACUAGGAAAGAGAGAUGCUAAGAGAGUUUCACAUUAUCAAUUAAAUGUUGCAACCUGGAAACUAAAUACAUCAUUUCUGUUAACAGACCUUUGGCCAGAACCAGUUAUAUGACUCUGACUAAUUACAAAAGGGCUAGGAAUUAUAGCUUUCCAGCACCCGUUAAAUGGAGGAGAACCAGAUACUUGUUGAACUCCAGUAUUUAUACCUCACAUACUACUGGAUGUAGUAUAGCUUGUAGUUAAAGAGUACACCUGGAGUCACAAACUAAAUUUUAGCCCUAGCUCUUCCAUUUGCUACGUGACAAAUGGUUUAAACCCUGAGCCAUGGUUUAAAGUGUGAGUAAUAAUAUGCUUGCACAAUGCUUAACACAGUUCCUGGCACACAAGAAACAUUUAAUUAAUUAUUUGAAACGAUGUGUGGUACAGAAAAACAUUGUGACUCGCUAAGCUGUGAUCAUGACCAGUGAGAAAGCUACUUCAGACAAUCUUAUAGACAUCAUGGCAGCACCACUUGUAACAUAUACAUUAUGACAGUUCUCAAUCAUUUACUAAGUCUUUAACAGACUGGAAAAAUAUUGACACUGUUAUAGUCUCCAUGGUAAAUUAAAGUGAAGACUGUGAUGAUAGCAAUGUGUUGUCAGGAAGAAAAUUACUGUGACAGAGGCUAUUUUAUUUGCUAAAAUGUCAUAAAUUUUGUGGAACAAUGACCAUUUUCU